GCGGCGUGCCUAUACAUGCAGUCGAACGAACUCUGGUAUUGAUUGGUGCUUGCAUCAUGAUUUACAUUUGAGUGAGUGGCGAACUGGUGAGUAACACGUGGGAAACCUGCCCAGAAGCGGGGGAUAACACCUGGAAACAGAUGCUAAUACCGCAUAACAACUUGGACCGCAUGGUCCGAGCUUGAAAGAUGGCUUCGGCUAUCACUUUUGGAUGGUCCCGCGGCGUAUUAGCUAGAUGGUGAGGUAACGGCUCACCAUGGCAAUGAUACGUAGCCGACCUGAGAGGGUAAUCGGCCACAUUGGGACUGAGACACGGCCCAAACUCCUACGGGAGGCAGCAGUAGGGAAUCUUCCACAAUGGACGAAAGUCUGAUGGAGCAACGCCGCGUGAGUGAAGAAGGGUUUCGGCUCGUAAAACUCUGUUGUUAAAGAAGAACAUAUCUGAGAGUAACUGUUCAGGUAUUGACGGUAUUUAACCAGAAAGCCACGGCUAACUACGUGCCAGCAGCCGCGGUAAUACGUAGGUGGCAAGCGUUGUCCGGAUUUAUUGGGCGUAAAGCGAGCGCAGGCGGUUUUUUAAGUCUGAUGUGAAAGCCUUCGGCUCAACCGAAGAAGUGCAUCGGAAACUGGGAAACUUGAGUGCAGAAGAGGACAGUGGAACUCCAUGUGUAGCGGUGAAAUGCGUAGAUAUAUGGAAGAACACCAGUGGCGAAGGCGGCUGUCUGGUCUGUAACUGACGCUGAGGCUCGAAAGUAUGGGUAGCAAACAGGAUUAGAUACCCUGGUAGUCCAUACCGUAAACGAUGAAUGCUAAGUGUUGGAGGGUUUCCGCCCUUCAGUGCUGCAGCUAACGCAUUAAGCAUUCCGCCUGGGGAGUACGGCCGCAAGGCUGAAACUCAAAGGAAUUGACGGGGGCCCGCACAAGCGGUGGAGCAUGUGGUUUAAUUCGAAGCUACGCGAAGAACCUUACCAGGUCUUGACAUACUAUGCAAAUCUAAGAGAUUAGACGUUCCCUUCGGGGACAUGGAUACAGGUGGUGCAUGGUUGUCGUCAGCUCGUGUCCUGAGAUGUUUGGGUUAAGUCCCCCAACGAGCGCAACCCUUAUUAUCAGUUGCCAGCAUUAAGUUGGGGCCCCUGGUGAGACUGCCGGUGACAACCCGAGGAAAGAGGGGGGGAGAAGCCCAAUCCACCUUGCCCCCUUAUAACCGGGGGUACACACUGCUUCAAUGGAGGGGGGCACCC
rnacentral:rRNA from 2 species